rnacentral:lncRNA from 1 species
AUGGGAGAACUAGGUCAGAGAUGACACGCUCAAGUGUUUUGGGGGAAAAAAGAAGACAUAACCAGUCUGUUCUUGACGUCAGAGAGUUUGAGUGUUGCUAUCAUAGCUGUCGGUGGAUUGUGUUAAUGAGUGUUGGUAUCAUAGUUGUUGGUGGAUUGUGUUAAUGAGUGUUGCUAUCAUAGUUGUUGGUGGAUUGUGUUAAUGAGUGUUGCUAUCAUAGCUGUCGGUGGAUUGUGUUGCUAUCAUAGCUGUCGGUGGAUUGUGUUAAUGAGUGUUGCUUUCAUAGCUGUCGGUGGAUUGUGUUGCUAUCAUAGCUGUCGGUGGAUUGUGUUGCUAUCAUACCUGUCGGUGGAUUGUGUUGCUAUCAUAGCUGUCGGUGGAUGGGGUUGGUAUCAUUGCUGUCGGUGGAUUGUGUUCAUGAUGUUGUAUCAUAGCUUGUCGGUGGAUUGGGUUAAUGAGUGUGGUAUCAUAGCGGUCGGUGUUGGGUUAUGAGUGUUGGUAUCAUAGCUUUCGGUGGAUUGGUUAUAGUGUUGGUAUCAUAGCUGUCGGUGGAUUGGUUAAUGAGUGUUGCUAUCAUAGUUGUUUGGUAUGAAUCUAGAAGAUAUCUGAUUGUCUCUCUCUCUCUCUCUCUCUGACUGCCAGACUCUGCGUUAAAGAUCAGGGAAGGGGCAGCACUCCUGGAGGAAUAGUUACCAGCUCCACUCCAGUCAGCUCUUCCAGUAUGAUGGCAGGUAAGUCAUCCAACACUGCAUUGGUCUUUGGGCUUUGGUCAAAGUAGUGCACUAUUAGGGUAUAAGGUGCAAUU